GCCCUUAAUACCCAAUCCUGACACAGGGAGGUAGUGACAAGAAAUAACAAUACAGGGCAAUUGUCUUGUAAUUGGAAUGAUGGUGACGUAAAAUCUCACCAGAGUAACAAUUGGAGGGCAAGUCUGGUGCCAGCAGCCGCGGUAAUUCCAGCUCCAAUAGCGUAUAUUAAACUUGUUGCAGUUAAAAAGCUCGUAGUUGAAUUUCUGCGUUGCCCGACUCGGCUACUUGCCUUGUCUGGUUUCGCUUUUGGGGUUUUCCCCUUUUUACUUUGAGAAAAUUAGAGUGUUUCAAGCAGACUUGUGUCUUGAAUAUUUCAGCAUGGAAUAAUAAAGUAGGACUUUGGUUCUAUUUUGUUGGUUUGUGAACCUUAGUAAUGGUUAAUAGGAACGGUUGGGGGCAUUCGUAUUUA
rnacentral:rRNA from 1 species